GAGAGAGGCUACCAGCAGCUCUACUUUUGUUUUGAUGGGGAAAAAAUUGGGGCUUGUUCCUUCCCUCUUGUUCCCCUUCACCAUCACAACAGAGGAACUCUGCAGCUGUCCUGGGAAAGGAGACUGGGCUCCCCAGGACCAGACCCACCCUGGCAGGCUGGCAAAAGAAACUGGGAAGCACCCAGGAUGAAUAUGUACUCAAGACUCACAUGUUCCCAGAGAACCUUCUUCUGGCCUCCUCCCAAAUCAGGAUCAGGCCUUUCAGGAAUGGGCAGCAAACCCUGAUGCUUCUGUUUGACACUUCUGGCAAGACUCAGAGCGACAGCGAGGCCACUCUGCCUUCCUUGCAAUGCUGCACAGCUGAUGUCUGCCUGGGGCUGCAAGAUGCUGGAUGUGUUCACAGAAACAUCUCUUCCAAACCCUUGUCACACAGGGCUGCUGAAAAAGCAUGA
rnacentral:lncRNA from 1 species